ensembl:lncRNA
AGGAGGUGGUGUAUGUCAGUGCCAAGCUUCGUCUGUUGGAGCACCGCCAGCAGCGAAUCAGUGAAGUCAGAGCCAAGUACCAGUGUCUCAAGAAAGAACUGGAACAAACCAAACAGUACUUGAUGCUGGAGCCACACAAGUGGACCACUGAGUUUGAGCUGCAGCAGGCCUAUGAAGUGGACUCAUUGGAGUAUUUGGAGGCUCUGGAAACAGUGACAGACAAACUGGAGACCAGAGUCAACUUCUGCAAAGCCCAUCUUAUGAUGAUCACCUGCUUUGAUGUGUCCUCAAGGCAUCAGUAGACAGAUGGAGGUGGAGAAGUGGCCUCGACGAUGUCAAUGUCUAGACCAUUCCCCUGACUAAUCAAACACAUUUAGAAAAUCUUUAACUGCAGCUCGACAGUUGGAAGGAUGAACACAGGAAUAGACCGACCGCAUGAUCCUGCAUAUUAUUCCAGCGUCUUGUCCAGAUGUGAGUAAGCAGAAGGCCAGGUGGCCGGAAAAAUCAAAAGAAGAUUUACGGAGAAAAAUUAACAGAAAAACAGAGACAAGAUUUGUAGAUUUGUUUGCUGGGGCUUGGAAACAACCUCAGAAACUAUCUAAUGGACGGGCUACUUUCAAUCAGAGAAAAUAUGGCUGCCCAAAUAGUGUAUGAGAGUCUAAAAAGACAUGUCAAACCAAGUAACCAGAGAGCAAAAUAAUUGGACCGCAGUGACACGCAGUGAGUCAAACUUUGAAAGAAUGUACCGAGAGCAAAAAAAAAGGCUAUAGCUGAACAAAAACUGCCAUUUUUUAAGAAGGAGAAAGCUGAAGUUGAAGUGCAAGAGAAGAAUAAUUUCACAUCUAACACAUUUUGGAAGAACAUUUUUUACAUGGUUAAAAGCCUUUGGCUGUAAAUACGGAGUGCUGACUACAGAGUGGCCUGGUAUUGUUGUGCAGCGACUAAAAGAGACUAACCGAGAGAGAAUGACAAGAGGACGAAGGAAACGAUUUAGAAGUGCCUUGUGAACAUUUCAACAAUACCAAGACCAAGUCUCCUUCUCUCUAAAUUUGUGUACAAGUAAGUAUGGUGCUAGUAUAGAAACAUCCAGAAAAGAUCAGUGUCCUUGGAAGCAGUUUUCAUUUUCUUUUCUAAAUGUGAUGUUUUACUGUGGGUCAGUGUUUCACUAUAUGAUAAACAAACUAAUAAUGUGUGUUUCAAUGUAUGGUCUUUGGUACAUUGAUUAGAGAUCAGAGAAACAACGUUAAAGUGGACCUGUUAUGCUCUUUAUUUUUACUCUCGGACUCCACAGGAGCCGCUUUGCAUGAGCAACAGAUCAAAAUAAUCCUUAUUUAUUUUAUACUGGGCCUCAGUGAAGUGCUCUCAGUUGAUCCUCUGUGAAACACCAUUUUAGUUCUUCGUACUUAUUCCCAACAGGAAAAGCAUAAUAGGUCCCCUUUAAAGGAAAACUACAGAUUAACUUAAUUAAACUUGGAAGGACCAAAAACCUAAAGUUAAAAGCAUUAAACAUUUUUCCCGGACACAAAGUUAUGUGUGUUUAAACAAAAACACUGAAUCUGGUAUCCUGUGGUGUCGUUUUUACUUUGGCUUUACUCACAAACGGAGCACAUGUGACUCUUGGCCCUCCGGGGCAUUCAUACACGAUGUUUCCCUUGAUAGAAAUUUUUAAUGUUCACAAAGCUAUGAAAUGUCAGAAGGUAGUAGAGGUGAAAACACUUCUCUCUGAUCUGGUGUUAAAUACAACCAACGACUGACUCCCUGCCUCCCUGCCUGACUCACAGGCAGUCUGUCUGUUAUUCGUAUCUGUGUUGUUCUGCUCUAUUCUAAAAGAAACUGAAUGAUUUGUCAUUGUGUGUGUUUUAUAAUAAGGUAUCCUUUUUUUAUUUGAGUGCAAUGGGACCAUGUAGAGACUAUGUACGAUAGUAGCAUUGAGCAGGAUAAUCGAAAUCUGGAGACAUAUUUAUAGAUAAAUUGUGAGGGACACGCAGGUGCGUCAAUAUACUGUGUUUAACAUUUAAUUAUAAUGAAACAAGGUAGUAGAUUUAAUCAAUAUUUUGGGACUACAGCUAUAGGGUGUUUAAAAACUUUUAAUAUCCCCUAUAUUGUAAAGGACAAUUAAAUUAUAUAAAAAAAAUUAAAGGAACCUAAUUAAAAAGGGAGGAGACGAGCUUAAGACAUAGAUCUCUGCCUGGUUCCACUUUUUGGAUGGAUAGCAACUCCUAAGAUUUGUUAGUAUUAUUAUCUAUGGUGCUUGAGAUACUUAUGAUCUAAAUGUUUGUACAAAUAUAAAUAUACGAAAGAGUCCAUUUCCCCCUGAAACACAAAACAACGCCUUUCAAAUGCUUCUUCUACAUCACUGUCAUCGUGUCUGUUGUUGUCGAGCAGAGAGCAUUAUGGGAGAGCGACAUGAGAGCAGUGGAAAUGAUGUCACCGUAUUGGUGUAAUUUGUCAAAAGCGUUGUAGUGCUGAUUUUUUCCUCCACUAAGAGCAAAAAACCAGAACGUGCUGUCGCUGAAACAGAAAAUACAGUUAAUUCAGUGAAGUUUUUAUCUUCACGUGGAUCUGAAUCAGCUAAUGAUUUCAUGUAGUGCAUACUGGCGGGGAUAGCCAAGAGAUAAUCUAGUGAGAAAUUACCCCUGAGAGCAAGACGCUUUUGACAAACUUGAGAGGCUUUUUUUGUUUUUUAAGAGCAUCUCUGAUCAUUUCCUGUUUUUAUCCCCGUGUUCAUUGUGCAAGUCAUGAAUGAAAGUUUAUUUAUUUGAGUUGCUACUUAAUGUUCUUAUUUACGUACACCUCAUGAUCUUACAAAGUUACUAUGCAUUGAUGAAAAAGAAAAAUAACUGUACAUACUUUGCUGAGCCCAUGUCAUAUAUAAAUAUAUAUACUGUGCACAUAGCAUAUAUGCCAUCAUUUUUAUUUUAGAUAUUUUUUUUGUUGUUGGUUUCAUUUGCUCCUGUUGUUCCUCUUGAGGAUUUCAAUGGGUUUGGUUCCCCAAACAUUCACAUGCAGAACAGGGAUGCUAGUUGAUUACAUGCAAAUCAGAAGCCUUCCAGUAUGAAGGCAGCUGUGUUGCUUUAAGAGAAAUGUCUGUGUCUUAUGAACUGCAGCCCUGUGUAAUUAGCAGCGAGUGUUUUGGGAAAUCUAACCUCUAAAUGAGCUAAUGGCUUGUAUUGAACUAUCCUUUUUAAGAUGCUAUGUGGGAGGUUUCUUCCUUGAUAUGUUACUGCCAAAUCUAAUGGGAUAUCCCUUUAUUAUUGUAGUAAUAAUCAAAAAUUGCUAGAAACUAUUACAGCUAAAAGAAUAGCGGGGUGUUUUAAAUCAAGUUAUUCACAGAUUUCCAUCUGCAAAGUCACUCUGCACAACAUAAGCAUCACAUGAUCUAUGGAAUAAACUGACAAAUAUGCUGUGCUGGUGCAUAUUUUGUAGACACAUUUAAGAAUUAUAAUGUGCUAUCUGUAAAUCUCAUACAAGGCAUCUUAGGGAGCAUUGUGUGUUAAAGUCCGGGUCAGACCACAUUUACCAAAAACAGAUGUUAUCAUUAGCAUUAGGAGUCAACUUCUGCUUUGCUCAGUUGUAAGACACAGGGUCAGUUGUUUGAAGAUCUCUGGAUAACUAAAAAUAAAAAAAUCACUUUUCUGUUCCAGUCUCUUGAUAAAAAUGCCAGUUGUGAGACAUAUUCAUGCUAAAUACCCUCAGUAAUUCUAUUUAAAACAACACAUUAUCAGUGUAAAUGUGGAACAAAUGGUGCACAGGAGUCUCGCUGUGCUCAUAUUGUCCACUGCAGAUUUACCGUUUUUGUGAAAUCUGGUCUGACAUAUGGUAAAGACGG